GAUGAACGCUGGCGGCGUGCCUAAUACAUGCAAGUCGAGCGAACGGACGAGAAGCUUGCUUCUCUGAUGUUAGCGGCGGACGGGUGAGUAACACGUGGAUAACCUACCUAUAAGACUGGGAUAACUUCGGAAAACCGGAGCUAAUACCGGAUAAUAUUUUGAACCGCAUGGUUCAAAAGUAAAAGACGGUCUUGCUGUAACUUAUAGAUGGAUCCGCGCUGCAUUAGCUAGUUGGUAAGGUAACGGCUUAUCAAGGCAACGAUGCAUAGCCGACCUGAGGGGGUGGUAGGCCACACUGGAACGGAGACACGGUCCAGACGCCUACGGGAGGCAGCAGUAGGGAAUCUUCCGCAAUGGGCGAAAGCCUGACGGAGCAACGCCGCGUGAGUGAUGAAGGUCUUCGGAUCGUAAAGCUCUGUUAUUAGGGAAGAACAUAUGUGUAAGUAACUGUGCACAUCUUGACGGUACCUAAUCAGAAAGCCACGGCUAACUACGUG
rnacentral:rRNA from 1 species